GGCAGAUGAUGGCUUACUUCACGAUGGUCUGCGAAUGCCCCUGUGGGCAGUGCCGACGAUGCCAAUGGCUCAGCUGAUGCCAGGAA
rnacentral:snoRNA from 1 species